rnacentral:lncRNA from 1 species
AGACCCUCCAGGGGCAGGGCCCAGGAUUGAAGAGGGAAGCCCUGCUCCACACGUGUUCAUCAGGAAGGACCCACAGACUGCUGCUCCUGGAGGCCUCUCGGUUUAUGGAUGUGUGUUUGUUCCAUAAACCCUCAGAGGGUCACCUGGAGACCCGCUAAAAUGCAGGUUCUUGGGCCACAUCCUAGACCUUCUGACCGACCCAGGGAGUGGGGCCCAGGAAGCUGCAUUUGACAGAUAUCCCCGUGUGAUCAUCAUGCACACAGGAGUGAGAGAACCAGUGUUCUCCCCGGGCAGAAGGGAAGCUCGUGUGCAGGACACCUCACACCUCCUUUCCCAUUCCCCUGCCAGGCUCUCCCUGCUGACAUUGUUUUUGCGGGAGAGCUGUGAAUUCUGAAGAUUAGGUUGCUUCUCACCCCAAGCUCCAGAAGUCCAGGCUGAGCCAAACCAAGCUUCAAGUUAACAAGUCAAAUGACAAAAACAAAACACCAGGCUGAAAUCAUAGGCUUCUACAAGCAGGUGCCUGGACUUGGAGAACCAGGAGGUGAGGGGACUGACUACUUGAAG